GAGAAUGUGUAUGCACAGAGCACGUGAAGCGUGCGACGCACAAGCGCAUAUGCGUGUGCAUGUGUGUGUGCCUGUGCAAGGGUGAGGGCAUGGGCGAGAGCGUUGGCGCAGUGGCACUCGAUGGCGCACUUUACAGUUGCAUGCUCGCAUCGGCGCAUGAGGCACCCCUCACCCUAGAACGUGUGCGGGUCGGGCACGUGGAUCUGUGAGCCUGGUUCAUAGGGAGAUCCAACAAUCAUCUAGCCGUUGAUGCGUGUGGUACAUCUAACAGUCAUCUAGCCGUUGAUGAGAUGGAGGCUUGUAACAGCAGCCAUUAAGCAUAUGUAACUCAUGUAACUUGUAGUUGUUGGGGUACAUGUAACUCAUGUAACUUGUAGCUAUUGGAGUGUAUGUAACUCAUGUAACUUGUAGCUGUUGGGUGAUGCAUGUAACCACCACAACACGAAAUAAGCAACCUAUUGGUGCUCUAUAAUAAAGGCCCUCCUACCC
rnacentral:lncRNA from 1 species